GCCGCCUUAGCUCAGCAGGUAGAGCGCUUGACUUGUAAUCAUGAGGUCUCCGGUUCGAUUCCGGGAGGCGGCU
rnacentral:tRNA from 1 species